ACGAACGCUGGCGGCAGGCUUAACACAUGCAAGUCGAGCGCCCCGCAAGGGGAGCGGCAGACGGGUGAGUAACGCGUGGGAAUCUACCCAUCUCUACGGAAUAACCCAGGGAAACUUGGACUAAUACCGUAUACGCCCUUCGGGGGAAAGAUUUAUCGGAGAUGGAUGAGCCCGCGUUGGAUUAGCUAGUUGGUGGGGUAAAGGCCUACCAAGGCGACGAUCCAUAGCUGGUCUGAGAGGAUGAUCAGCCACAUUGGGACUGAGACACGGCCCAAACUCCUACGGGAGGCAGCAGUGGGGAAUAUUGGACAAUGGGCGAAAGCCUGAUCCAGCCAUGCCGCGUGAGUGAUGAAGGCCCUAGGGUUGUAAAGCUCUUUCAGUGGGGAAGAUAAUGACGGUACCCACAGAAGAAGCCCCGGCUAACUUCGU
rnacentral:rRNA from 1 species